CUUGAUCAUCUCUAUCCAAAACAGGGGAUCUCUGCUGUAACGUGACAUUUUCUAACGCUCCCAUAGGCUUUCAGAAGGCACCAGAACGUUGAAUGAUGACUUUGCAGGCCAUGGUUGAAAAACAGUAGCACAUUUGGUAAGUGGUCGAUCUGAGAACAAUGAGACUGGUGCGCGCGUGCACGAGACGACUCCAUGUUUUCAUUUUCAGUCUUUGAACGAAAACAACGACUCUCGGAAUAUUAUCGCUUUUUUGCGAGAAAAAUUACAUAAAAUUGAUUUUAAACAGAGUUUGACAUGCUUCUAAGUACGGUAAUGGAAUAUUUUGAAAAUUUUUGUCACGAAAUGCGCCGGGCACGUCACCCUUCGUUACCCUUCGGAUAGUGUCUUGAACGCACAACAAAACGCCGCAAUUUGGAUAUAACUAUGGAUUAUUUGGAACCAAACCAACAUUUGUUAUUGAAGUAGAAGUCCUGGGAGUGCAUUCUGACGAAGAAGAGCAAAGAUUCACAAGUUGACAUCGCUUUAAGACUUCUGCCAGCCAUCCUCCCAACACCAGUCUACAAGAUUGUCAGGAAGACAUUCCGACCCAGCUUCAAAGAGACCAGAAAGUCCUUCAUAUACUUGCAGCCUAUUGGAAUGUCUGCAGUGCAAGGUGUUCUACAGUGGAUGGACAAAGAGACGCCUUCAAGACCGCUUAGCAGAACACAAGUAUGCCAUACGGGUAGGCAAUGAAGACUACCCGUAUGGCAAGGCACUACAAGUCCUUAAACAUUUACAUUUACAUUUACGUCAUUUAGCAGACGCUCUUAUCCAGAGCGACUUACAAAUUGGUGCAUUCACCUUAUGAUAUCCAGUGGAACAACCACUUUACAAUAG
rnacentral:lncRNA from 1 species